rnacentral:misc_RNA from 1 species
CAUGAUUACCUUUCAAACAAACUGUGAACUUUAAAUUUUACUAUUCGUGUGCUUGUAACUACUCUAAACCAGUCGUUUUCAUGUCACACUGUCAUUCGAUGAACAUUAGAUAGCUGGCUUGUUUUCAACAAACUUUCUCAGCUGAUUGUUUUGUACUGACUAAACAUCUUACAACAAUCACCAACAAACAUAGUAA